rnacentral:rRNA from 1 species
UACGUAGGGUGCAAGCGUUGUUCGGAAUCACUGGGCGUAAAGAGAGCGUAGGCGGGAUUGUAAGUUAGGAGUUUAAUGCAUGGGCUCAACCCAUGAUCUGCUUUUAAUACUGCAGUUCUUGAGUAUGGGAGAGGGCGAUGGAAUUCCAGGUGUAGCGGUGGAAUGCGUAGAUAUCUGGAAGAACACCAGUAGCGAAGGCGGUCGCCUGGCCUAAUACUGACGCUGAGGCUCGAAAGCUAGGGGAGCAAAC